AUGGACAUUCACCUAGCUGGUCUACUCAGGACAACGUCUAUUUCAGAGAGUGCAAAUUCAUUCUUUAAACGUUUCAUUCGUCUCAAGCUUACCUUUGUUGAGUUUUGGCUAAGGUUUGACACUGCUUUGAAAUGUCAAAGGCAAAGUGAGCCGAUUGCCGAUAACACAAGUGAAUACACAACAAGUGAGUUGUUGACAUCAUGGGAAAUAGAGAGAGAAGGCAGGGCGCUAUUCACUCAUGAGGUUUUUGAAUUGUUUCAGGCUCAGGUGCUUGCUGCCGGAGAUGAUUGUGAUGUUCAACAGACAGAAAAUCGUGAGGGGAUUAAAAUCAUGUUUGUCAGCGAUCAAUACAAGAAGAUUAGAGAAGUGUGUUAUGACACAACAUCCAUGACUACUAAAUGUUCUUGCAAGCUUUUUUAG
rnacentral:rRNA from 1 species